rnacentral:misc_RNA from 1 species
GAAAUGUGAUACGUAAUGUGAAUUGCAGACCCAGUGAAUCAUCGAAUCUUUGAACGCAUCUUGCGCUCCGUGGAAUUCCGCGGAGCAUGUCUGUCUGAGUGUCGCGACUCCUCGCCCCCACUGCCCAGUCCAGUGGCCGCGGACCGUGGUCGCUGCCGGAACCCCCGGCUCGGCUGAAAUCAAUGAGGCGGCCCCCGCGCGCAGCUUCAUCCAGUGGUAACUCACAUACCUGGAGACGCCGUGGAUGCAGCCCGAAAACACCCAUCAUCUAUCGACCUCAGAUCAGGCAGGACUACCCGCUGAACUUAA